rnacentral:rRNA from 1 species
CCUACGGGAGGCAGCAGUAAGGGAUAUUGGUCAAUGGGGGAAACCCUGAACCAGCAACGCCGCGUGAGGGAAGACGGUUUUCGGAUUGUAAACCUCUGUCCUCUGUGAAGAGGAUGACGGUAGCAGAGGAGGAAGCUCCGGCGAACGACGUGCCAGCAGCCGCGGUAAUACGUAGGGAGCGAGCGUUGUCCGGAUUUACUGGGUGUAAAGGGUGCGUAGGCGGCUUGGCAAGUCAGUAGUGAAAUCCAUGGGCUUAACCCAUGAACUGCUAUUGAAACGGUCGAGCUUGAGUGAAGUAGAGGUAGGCGGACUUCCCGUUGUCGCGGUUCGAUGCGUCGCGAUCGGGAUGCCCACCAGUUGCGCAGGCGGCCUACUGGGCUUUAACUGCCGCUGCGGCACGAAAGCGUGGGUAGCACACAGGAUUAGAUACCCUAGUAGUC